rnacentral:misc_RNA from 1 species
GAUGAAGAACGUAGCGAAAUGCGAUAAGUAAUGUGAAUUGCAGAAUUCAGUGAAUCAUAGAAUCUUUGAACGCACAUUGCGCCCGCCAGUAUUCUGGCGGGCAUGCCUGUCUGAGCGUCAUUUCAACCCUCAUGCUCCUAGGGCGUGGUGUUGGGGAUCGGCCAAAGCCCGCGAGGGACGGCCGGCCCCUAAAUCUAGUGGCGGACCCGUCGUGGCCUCCUCUGCGAAGUAGUGAUAUUCCGCAUCGGAGAGCGAUGAGCCCCUGCCGUUAAACCCCCAACUUUCCAAGGUUGACCUCAGAUCAGGUAGGAAUACCCGCUGAACUUAAGCAUAUCAAUAAGCGGAGGA